rnacentral:lncRNA from 1 species
CUGCGUAAGCAAAAUAUAACCUUCAAGAUAAAACAUCAAUAAAACCUCAUGCUGAGCAGUUUUUGUAGUAACCCUAUUGAUACUCAUUAAAGAAAUUAAGAAAUACAAAAGAUAGUAGUAAUGAUCAAGUUAAAAGCUUAAAAGUAAUGAGCAUCAUCAGUUAUUCAAAACACAAUUGAGUCAUUGAAAGUAAAUAAUUAACGUUAAAACAUAGAUGCAUAAGCCCUAAGCAUAUUAAGAAUGGAUAAGCCUUUUUCCAAUGAUCUGGCAAAACUCAAAUCGUAAAUCCUAAAAUAAACGAGAAAAAUCUUUUGUUCAGAAUUUAAUUAUGCGAUUGAAGGUCCAUGUUUAGAGCAAUGACGAUAAUGAUGAUAGAGUUUUCUUGGCUUUUUCUAAUGAUCUUGUCAAACUUACAAACUCUAAAAAAAAUCAGUUAUUUUAUAACUCACUUGUGUUAUUAAAGACUAUGUUAAGGACAUAAGCCCUAGUCAUAUUGGAAGCAACUUCUUCAAGAUUUCAAACAAGUUUAUAACAUGAGCAUUUUCCUCGAUCCUGAUGAUCUUGUCAAACUUACAAACUCUAAAAUAAAUGUCAGUUAUUCAUAACUCACUUGUGUUAUUAAAGACUAUGUUGACGUCUUGAGGACAUAAGCCCUAGUCAUAUUGGAAGCAACUUCUUCAAAGUUUCAAACAAGUUUACAACAGAGGAGCAUUUUCCUUAAUUCUGAUGAUCUUGUCAAAACUUAAACUGUCAUACAGAAUUAGUUAUUCAUAUUUCAUAUUCAAUUAUGUCAUUGGUGAUAAGAGCAUAAGCCCCAACCAUAUUACAAAUUAAUAUCAAUCAAGUUUAUAUCAGAGAAGCAUUUUCCUUAAUCUUGAUAAUCUUGCCAAACUUUAUACCCUAGUGGUCCUAGUCAUAUUUCACAUAAAUUUAGGAAAGGGAAGCCUAUUCCUGUUGAACACACGUUGAACUUGACUAAUAUUAGUUAGCAAGAAGAUUAGCUUUUCCAAACUCAAUUAUGCCAUUUAAGACUAUAUUAAGAACCUAGUUCACUAAUCCUUAAUCAUUUUCCAAAGCAAAUUGAAAAUACAAGAGCCUUUUUCCUGAUAUUUUCACCAAACUUUAAGCCUCACUGGCAAAAGUUUCCACCAUCAAGCUGAGAAUGCAAGAAGACUUUUAUCAAUGAGCAAAUCAAAAUUUCAGAGCUGAAUUUUGUCAUCAAAGAUCACAGAACUAGUAGGGACUGAUAUAGUCAGUCAUAUUCAAACAAUCAAACCAAAUAAACUCAAGAACGUCAAUUAUAUUUUAUGAUAAAAAAC